CCUACGGGAGGCAGCAGUGGGGAAUAUUGGGCAAUGGGCGAAAGCCUGACCCAGCAAUGCCGCGUGAAUGAAGAAGGUCUUAGGAUUGUAAAAUUCUGUCCUAUGGGAAGAAAAAAAUGACGGUACCCUCGGAUGAAGCCCCGUCUAACUACGUGCCAGCAGCCGCGGUCAUCCGUCGGGGGCGAGCGUUGUCCGGAAUUACUGGUCGUAAAGGGAGCGUAGGCGGCACUACAAGUCUCAUGUGAAAGACCCGGGCUUAACUUGGGGGUUGAAUGGGAAACUGGAGAGCUUGAGUACAGGAGAGGCAAGCGGAAGGCCUAGGGUAGCGGGGAAAUGCAGAGAUAUUAGGAGGAAAACCAGUGGCGAAGGCGGCUGGCUGGACUGAAACUGACGCGGAGGCGCGAAAGCGUGGGGAGCAAACAGGAUUAGAUACCCCAGUAGUC
rnacentral:rRNA from 1 species